rnacentral:rRNA from 1 species
AACCCUGAUCCAGCCAUGCCGCGUGUGUGAAGAAGGCCUUUUGGUUGUAAAGCACUUUAAGCAGUGAAGAAGACUCUUCGGUUAAUACCCGGAGACGAUGACAUUAGCUGCAGAAUAAGCACCGGCUAACUCUGUGCCAGCAGCCGCGGUAAUACAGAGGGUGCAAGCGUUAAUCGGAAUUACUGGGCGUAAAGCGAGCGUAGGUGGCUUGAUAAGUCAGAUGUGAAAUCCCCGGGCUUAACCUGGGAACUGCAUCUGAAACUGUUAGGCUAGAGUAGGUGAGAGGGAAGUAGAAUUUCAGGUGUAGCGGUGAAAUGCGUAGAGAUCUGAAGGAAUACCGAUGGCGAAGGCAGCUUCCUGGCAUCAUACUGACACUGAGGCUCGAAAGCGUGGGUAGCAAACAGGAUUAGAUACCCUGGUAGUCCACGCCGUAAACGAUGUCUACUAGUCGUUGGGUCCCUUGAGGACUUAGUGACGCAGCUAACGCAAUAAGUAGACCGCCUGGGGAGUACGGCCGCAAGGUUAAAACUCAAAUGAAUUGACGGGGGCCCGCACAAGCGGUGGAGCAUGUGGUUUAAUUCGAUGCAACGCGAAGAACCUUACCUGGUCUUGACAUAUCUAGAAUCCUGCAGAGAUGCGGGAGUGCCUUCGGGAAUUAGAAUACAGGUGCUGCAUGGCUGUCGUCAGCUCGUGUCGUGAGAUGUUGGGUUAAGUCCCGCAACGAGCGCAACCCUUG